UACGUAGGGACCAAGCGUUGUUCGGAUUUACUGGGCGUAAAGGGCGCGUAGGCGGCAUGACAAGUCACUUGUGAAAUCUCCGGGCUUAACCCGGAACGGUCAAGUGAUACUGUCGCGCUAGAGUGCGGAAGGGGCAAUCAGAAUUCUUGGUGUAGCGGUGAAAUGCGUAGAUAUCAAGAGGAAUACCUGAGGUGAAGACGGGUUGCUAGGCCGACACUGACGCUGAAGCGCGAAAGCCAGGGGAGCAAACGGG
rnacentral:rRNA from 1 species